rnacentral:lncRNA from 10 species
GUGUUGUGUAUGUGGUGUGUGUGGCGUGUGUGUUGUGUAUGUGGUGUGUGCUGUUUGUGUGGUGUGUGUGUUGUGUAUGUGGUGUGUGUGAGUGUGUGUUGUGUAUGUGGUGUGUGUGAGUGUGUGUUGUGUAUGUGGUGUGUUGUGUGCGUGUGUGUUGUGUAUGUGAUGUGUGCUGGGUUUGUGGUGUGUGUGUUGUGUAUGUGGUGUGUUGCAUGUGUGUGUCGUGUAUGUGUUGUGUGUUGCGUGA